rnacentral:rRNA from 1 species
AUAUCAGUCAUGCAUAGCAUAUCAAUAAGCGGAGGAAAAGAAACUAACAAGGAUUCCCUUAGUAACGGCGAGUGAAGCGGGAAGAGCUCAAAUUUGAAAUCUUCAAGGUUUUACCUUGACGAAUUGUAGUUUAAAGAAGUGUUUUCUGUUGAAGUUUUGGUAAAAGUUCUUUGGAAUAGGACAUCAUAGAGGGUGAGAAUCCCGUAUUUGACCAUUACUUUCAGCUUUGUGAUACACUUUCAAAGAGUCGGAUUGUUUGGGAAUGCAGUCCAAAAUGGGUGGUAAAUUUCAUCUAAAGCUAAAUAUUGGCGAGAGACCGAUAGCGAACAAGUACCGUGAGGGAAAGAUGAAAAGAACUUUGAAAAGAGAGUUAAACAGUACGUGAAAUUGUCAAAAGGGAAGCGUUUGACACCAGUGUUGUCUUCUCGAAAAUCAAUUAAAAAGAGUUGGAUUUUGUGUUGUAUUGACUUUAUCGGCUUUCUUCACUCUUUUCCAGCUUUUUUUAAUGCACUUUUCGUUUAACAAGUCAACAUCAGUUUCUUUUGUUGUAAAAAGGUCAUUGGAAGGUGGCUUUCUCUUCGGAGAAAGUGUUUAUAGCCUUUGACUCAUGCAAUCGGAGAGAUCUGAGGUCUGCAGCGUAGAUCCUUCGGGGUUAGAUACAUUUGUGCUAAGUUAUAGCUUUUCAUAGACAACUUGUUGACUAUGUUUAGUCUUGUAGCUUACUCGCUUAUGCUAUUUUACCUACGCUUAGGAUGUUGAACUCUAUCACACACAG